rnacentral:rRNA from 1 species
AUUGAACGCUGGCGGCAGGCCUAACACAUGCAAGUCGAACGAGUGGCGGGCGGGUGAGUAAUGUCUGGGAAACUGCCUGAUGGAGGGGGAUAACUUCUGGAAACGGUAGCUAAUACCGCAUACCAUCGGAUGUGCCCAGAUGGGCUUGGGGAGUUGGUGGGGUAACGGCGCCCGAGGGCGCCGAUUCCUAGCUGGUCUGAGAGGAUGACAGGGCGCACUGGAACAGGGGCACGGUCACGCCUCCUACGGUAGGCAGCCGUGGGGAAGUGUGCAAAAUGGGCGCAAGGCUGAUGCAGCCAUGCCGCGUGUAUGAAGAAGGCCUGCGGGUUGUAAAGUACUUUCAGCGGGGCGGCGGUACCCGGAGAAGAAGCACCGGCUAACUCCGUGCCAGCAGCCGCGGUAAUAC